rnacentral:rRNA from 1 species
CCUACGGGUGGCAGCAGUGAGGAAUAUUGGUCAAUGGCCGGAAGGCUGAACCAGCCAUGCCGCGUGAAGGUCAGUGCCCCAUGGGCGUUUAACUUCCUUUGUGCGGGAGCAAUAAUGGUCACGUGUGGCCAGACGAGAGUUCCGUACGAAUAAGCAUCGGCUAAACCCGUUCCAGCAGCCGCGGUAAAACGGGGGAUGCAAGCGUUAUCCGGAUUUAUGGGGUUUAAAGGGGGCGUGGGCGGGCUGUUAAAGCAGCGGUAAAAGCCUGGGGCUCAACCCCAGCGAGCCGUUGAAACUGGCUGUCUUGAGAUGUCGUGAGGUAUGCGGAAUGCGCAGUGUAGCGGUGAAAUGCUUAGAUAUUGCGCAGAACUCCGAUUGCGAAGGCAGCAUACCGGCGGCGAUCUGACGCUGAGGCACGAAAGCGUGGGUAUCGAACAGGAUUAGAUACCCCAGUAGUC